AUGAAUGAAUGCUAUUCUUUUAUGAAGAAUAUAGUAACGUGUAACAUGAAUCAGUUAUUAAACCAGAAUGAACUAAAAAUAGUAAACAAAGACGGAAUAGAUGUAAAAGAUGUAAAUCAUUUUGUUUGUCACAAUUAUUUUGAUGAUAAAGAACUAACACAAAAAAAAGAACAAGAUGUUUUAAAAAAAAAAAAUAAACUUGUUGUUAACAUAACUGUGAAAGAUAUAGCAAAAAACAUGAAAAAGGAUAAAUCCCUGAUGAACAAUAAUAUGGAGCUGUCAACUACUCAUAAGAUAGGAAGCUUACAAGAUGAGGUAAAAUGUGGCAAUUCAUAUGACAGUAUAUGUGACAUUGUAGGCGACACAAACGAGCGAAUAAAUACCCAAUCAAAAUCAACCAGCCAAACAAAUCAAUUAGUUCAUAACAAUAAUGACACUGUUGUCGAUAUCCUCAAAUCGAUUGACGUUUACAAACUGUACAACUUCAAACAUAAUUCAGUUUAUAUGAGUAUAAACAGAGAAGACCUUUAUUUAAAUAACUUUUUCAAUUCGCAUAACUUACAAAUACAAAAAUGUUUUAAUCAUGUAUUAGAAAUUUUACUUAAAAUCAACGAUAACAUGUUUAUUAACACUAUGAUGGCAAAUUUCAAGCGCAACGAAAUAAUAGAAGAAGAAAAAAAAAUUAAAGAAAAAAAAAAUAAAGAAAUAAUAAAUGCCUUAACGAUCCGUAGUCCUGAACAUAACAGUAACAAUGACAAUCGUAACGUUGAUAGAAGUAACAGUGACAAUCAGAACGUUGAUAGAAGUAACAGUGACAAUCAUAACGUUGAUAGAAGUAACAGUGACAAUCAUAACGUUGAUAUAAGUAAUAGUGACAAUCGUAACAUUGAUAGAAGUAAUAGUGACAAUCAUAACAUUGAUACAAGUGACGAUGACAAUCAUAACGUUGAUACAAGUGACGAUGACGGAAGUGAAGUGAACUAUUUUAAAAAACUACUCAAAUUUAGUCCAAGAACUAAAAAAUACAAUAAAAAAGACACAUUGGAGAAACAAAAACAUUAUUUUGAACAUAGUUAUGUACCUGACUACAAACGAAUAAAAGAACACUUCAUUUGUCUCGAUUCCGCCAAAAUGGAUAUACAUGUACCUUCUUAUUCUGUUCAUAUGAAACACCCUCUUUUAGGUCAUAUAAGGAAACUGUAUUAUUAUGGCAUAUCAAAGUUUUAUAAAAAAAAAAAAAAAAAUGCGUUAAAAAGUAAAGAUGAGAAGAUUGCGUCAUUUGAAGAUUGUCAGGCGGUUAGCGAUAUGAG
rnacentral:lncRNA from 1 species